UACAGAGGUCUCGAGCGUUGUUCGGAUUCAUUGGGCGUAAAGGGUGCGUAGGUGGCGCAGUAAGUCGGGUGUGAAAUCCUGAGGCUUAACCUCAGAACUGCAUUCGAUACUGCUGUGCUUGAGGACUGGGGAGGAGACUGGAAUUUACGGUGUAGCGGUGAAAUGCGUAGAUAUCGUAAGGAAGACCAGUGGCGAAGGCGGGUCUCUGGACAGUUCCUGACGCUGAGGCACGAAGGCCAGGGGAGCAAACGGG
rnacentral:rRNA from 1 species